rnacentral:rRNA from 1 species
AUCGAACGCUGGCGGCAGGCUUAACACAUGCAAGUCGAGCGGAGAUGAGGUGCUUGCGCCUUAUCUUAGCGGCGGACGGGUGAGUAAUGCUUAGGAAUCUGCCUAUUAGUGGGGGACAACAUUCCGAAAGGAAUGCUAAUACCGCAUACGUCCUACGGGAGAAAGCAGGGGAUCUUCGGACCUUGCGCUAAUAGAUGAGCCUAAGUCGGAUUAGCUAGUUGGUGGGGUAAAGGCCUACCAAGGCGACGAUCUGUAGCGGGUCUGAGAGGAUGAUCCGCCACACUGGGACUGAGACACGGCCCAGACUCCUACGGGAGGCAGCAGUGGGGAAUAUUGGACAAUGGGGGGAACCCUGAUCCAGCCAUGCCGCGUGUGUGAAGAAGGCCUUAUGGUUGUAAAGCACUUUAAGCGAGGAGGAGGCUACUGAGACUAAUACUCUUGGAUAGUGGACGUUACUCGCAGAAUAAGCACCGGCUAACUCUGUGCCAGCCGCCGCAGUAA